AUUGAGUUCACCCUGCCAGGGCUUGCAAAGGCGGAAAAGGCGUGAAGGGAAGGGAAGCCGACGGGGAGGAAGGUGGGUGAGCGGAAGCAGCGAGCGAGGUAUGUCACCUGGCUGAGAUUCAAUUAGUGAUCCAUUUAUAUUCCAGGAUAUAUUCACACAUAAUAUUACUAAACUAGAUAGCUGCCAUUCAAUAUCUGUUUGAUUCCCAUCCUCCCUAAAAUGUACAAGUUUUUAUUUUCAUGAAAUAUCCAUCCAUUUCCCUCAUCUACUAAAAUCAUUCUGCAUGUUG